UCAGAGAGCAUGCUGGGAACAGUUCGCCGCUCUCCUGGUGACUGAUCAGGAGGGAGAGGAGCAGACCGAGGCUCUGGCUCCAAGGACAGAGUCAGCUCUCUUGGAAUUUUGCAGUUGUCCUUUCCUCAUCGGUCUUACCAGCUGCCGGAAAAGCUUCCUCCCUGGGGCCGCUGGCCACUGUGCUGUGGAAUAUUCUGAAGAGGACCACAGAUAAAGGAGAUGCCAAACAUCUUAAGCUACAACGCGAGAGAGACGGUCCUCCUCUUAAAUUGUGAAGGUCUGACGGAAUGAGGUAUAUGGACCUGACGUUCGCUCAUACAGACACUAGCUCGCAAGCCGACACUGUGAAGCUAGUUUUAUAAAGUGAGGAGAAGCGCAGAUGUCCAUCCACUGGCAAAUGGAUAAGCACAGUGGGAUCUUAUUCGGCUAUGAAGUGAAGCAAAUUAGUCAUGCACCCACAAACACAAGCGGAUCUCAGAUGUAUUAUGUUAAACGGAAGGAAAAGCACGUCGGAUUCAGAAGGUGAUCGAGUAUGCAACUGGCCCCAUUUAUCCCAGGUUCUCAAACAGGCGAGCUUCCGGGAGCUAGGGGGUGGGAACAGCUUGACUCUGGUGGCGAGGGGGCUAAGAUGCUGUUAGAGGCUGUGGAACUGAUCUGUGUUUGGAUCAUGAUAGUGAUGAUAUCAUUGUUAUUUUGUUGAUCUGAAAUUCUUUGUAACAGUUACAUCUUCGACUGUCUCAUACACACCCAUAAAGCCAUCCCUCUCCAUGUCACCCCUAUCAAUCCCUCCUCCUAUCCCUUCCUAUCCUAUUUUCUCUUCGGUUAGUGACCCCUCUAAUUUAAACAGGAGAAUCUGUGUGAUCACUGGUUUGGGACUAGCCAUCAGAGCCUACUGGGGUCUAAAUUUAUACCCACCUGUAGGGUGACUCAAGUAAUCUUCCUCAGAGGCUUUUGGCUCCUCUGGGAAUGGUUCAUGGAUAGAGUUCAGGACCAAGAUUACAGGGGAAGCCCUUCUAGGGUAAAGCCCACACCAGAUAUGCAACAGGUGAUUCUCUGUCAAUAUGGCCUCAGAGGACAAAGCGCAUCCACCUCUCAAAUAUUUUGGCCCAUUUUAAAAAGUAGAAAUGGUGGUGGAAGCCAAACCUUAGGUCUAGAGCAGGCAGUCUUGGUACCAGAUCUUUCAAGGCUGUCACAAGACAACUUAAUACAUAGCCAGCUUUAUUAUUUAUUUUCCUUCCCUCUUUCUUUUCUUCGUUAUGUGUAUGCAUGUCUUACCCAGAUGUGUGUCUGUGCAGUGUGUGCAUGUCAUAUCCGGCAAAGCCGGAAGAGGGCAGCUUGUUCCCGGAACUGCACUGACAGGCAGCCGUGUGCUUCUGUGAAGUGCUAGGAAUGGAACUCGGGUCUUGAGCAAGAGCAGCCAGUGAUGAUCACUGAAGAGCCUCCUCUUUAUCCUUCAGAAGCCCUUUCCUUUCUUCCCUACCCCUCACCCAGUACCCAGCCUCUCUGUUCGUCUUGCUUUUUAAAGUGAACAAAGUCAGCUUCUACUUUCUGUGCCGCUUAGCUCUGUGCCCUGAAAAUGGACCUGCGGAAUGGUAGCGUUUCCAUCUUCCUGGGCCUUUCCACCGUCGUGCAAGAGACGAAGAGUUAAUGUGCACGUAGGUACUGAUGGAAAGCCUCAUACGAAUCGGGGCAAAGAAGAAAGUGAAGUUCAGGCAGUGGGGUGUGGGUGCAGAUUUAGGUGGGGGUGGGGUGGGAAGGUGGCAUCAAGCAGUUGAAUAGAGAGGAGAAGCAGGUGUGCGGUUACCCUGGCCACAGACAUUCCACACAAAGAUGCUCAGGAGACAGAGUUUGUAUGUGCACAGAGAGACAGAGACUGGAAGUCAGAGGAAGGGACAACAACACAUGGACACAGUGGGUUACACAGGAGUGGGUUACAGUCUAAAGGCAGUGGAAACCAUCGAAUGGUUUCAAGCAGAGAAACGGCAUUUAAGAAGGCUAAUGUGGAUUUUACAAUAUACUUCAUAAUGAAAGAAUAACUCAGGCUAUAUACGACAUUAUGCUGGAGGGGGCGAAACUGAGAACGUUUCCCCUAAAAUCUGUAAGGAGAACAUGGUGCCUCUUCUUUUCACCUUUAUUCAAUGUGAUGCUCAAAAUCUUAGCUAGCACAGCAAAGUGAGAGGAAGGAGGAAGACUGGGUGCGUAGGAAAGAAGUUAGAUUAUCUGUUUUCACACUGUAGGAUCCUGUACUAAAAAGACCCCCAAAGACUCCACCAAAAACCUCUCAGAUUCAACGAAGCUCGAAGCAACACUUUUUAAAAUCAACAAAGAUUAGUGAUUUUUUUUUCUAGAUAUGCACAAACUUUCUGAGAAAGAAAACAAGGGAAAACACCAUUAAUAGCUGGAACUUUGGUGUUCGAUAAUAAUCCUGAAACUUGUUCUACAGACCAGACUGGCCUCGAACUCACACAGAUGCUACUGCCUCUGCUUCCAGGGUGCUGGGAUUAGUGGUGUACCCCACCGCUACCCACUUCCUACACAUUUUAAAACUAUUAUAAAUAGGGUUUGUAUAUUACAAAUAGUUUGUUUCUUGGUUUUUGAGGCAGAACUUCACAGCAUAGUCAGGACUGUACUGAAACUCACUGUGUAGGCCAGGCUAGCCCCAAACUCCAAGAAGUCCUCUUUCCUCAGCCUCCUGAGGAUUAUUACCAUACACCUAAAAUACCUAAAAUGUCUAAAAUUCUCUGGGAAGUAUGGAAGGUGCCCUAGAACCAAAGCGAUCCUGAGGAAAAUAACGAUGCAGAAGUAUAAUACUCGAUUUCAAAUUACACGGCAGAGCCAUUGUAACAAAGAAAAGCAUGGUUUUGGCGCAAAAAUGGACACACAGAUACAUGGGAUAGAAUAGAGGACCCAGAAUAAACCCACAGAGCCACAGCUACGUGGCUUUUAACAGCGAUUACAGAGACACAUGCGGGAGAAACGAGACGGCUCUGCUCAGAGAAAUGGGGCGAGGUUCCACUCUCUCACCUCGGCUGAGGCUUUCUCUGCUGUGUGGUGUUUUAAUCUCUUGAGGUCCCAUUUGCCCUUUGCUGCUCUUUCUUCCAGACCCACAGGAGUCCAGCUCCAAAUAGUUGGAAGACUCUAAGACCUGAGCCAUUGAAACGGCUGGAGGACUAGGUGGGGAAAGUGCUCGAAGACUCAGACAUAGGAAGGACUUUGUAAAGAGGACCUAAAGAAAGGUCAGCAGUGGGCAAUGCUAGCAAGGAUGUGCACACACACACGUGCGUGUGUGGGUGUGCGUGCGUGCGUGUGGGUGUGUGGGUGUGCACACGCAUGUGUGUGACAAUAUGUCAGUCGGUAUGGAGUCUCCUCAAAACACUAGAAAUGGAAUUAUAAUAUGAUCCAGCUAUACAACUCCUGGGUUACCCAGAGAAAUCUGUGGUGGUUUGAAUUUGUUCGGCCCAGGGAGUGGCAUUAUUAGGAUGUCUUUUUUAGGGUUUUAUUGCUGUGAACAGACACCAUGAUCAAUGCAAGUUUUAUAAAGUACAACAUUUCAUUGGGGCUGGUUACAAGUUCAGAGGUUCAGUCCAUUAUCAUCAAGGUGGGAGCAAGGCAGCAUCCAGGCAGGCCUGGUGCAGGAAGAGCUGAGUUCUACAUCUUCACCUGAAGGAAGCCAGGAACAGCCUGAGCAUCCUCAGGCAGCUAGGAGGAGGGUCUCCAAGCCCACCCCACAGUGACACACCUACUCCAACAAGGCCACACCUUCUAAUAGUGCCACUCCCUGGGCCAAACAUGCAAACUAUCACACAGGAGGUGUGGCUUUGUUGGAGUGGGUGUGGCCUUAUUGGAGUAGGUGUGGCCUUGUUGGAGUAGGUGUGGCCUUGUUGGAGGAAGUGUGUCACUAAGGGGUGGGCUUUGAGGUCCUAUGUGUAAGCUCCAGGAAGUGUGGAAGAGACCCCCACCCUGGCUACCCGCAGAGGUCAGUCUCCUCCUUGCCUUAGGAUGAAGAUGUAGAACUCUCUGCAUCUCCAGCACUAUGUCUGCCUGCAUGCUGCCAUGCUUCCACCUUGAUAAUGGACUGAACCUCUGAGCCUGUAAGCCAGCCCCCAUGACUGAGACGGCAUCUAAGUGAGUGUACCACAUAGAGACUGGCACAUCUGUGUUUCUUAUUGUACUCACAACAGCCAAGAUAUAGGACUACUCUAGAUGUUAAUGGUUGAAUGAAUGAAUGAAUAAGUGAAUGGGUAGAGAAAAAUGCUUGUGUGUGGGGAGGGGUAGAAGGACAGAGAGAUAGGGGGAAAUUUAUUUAGGAUAGAAUUAUGUCACUUGUGAAGUCAAGGAUGGAACGGGAAGUCAUCGUGCUAAGCACAAUAAAGUAGACUUAGAAAAAACGAGUAUUGCAUGUUUCUCUCAUAUGCAAAAAGUAUAGAUUAAAAAAUGACAUGAAGAUAGAAAGUGACCAUAGGAGAUAAAAUGGUCUUAAGAAGAGAGAGUGGGAGACAGGUUGAAUAGUGGGGAGGGGAUUUUGUGUCUUUUCUCAAUACAGAAUCACUCUUGCUAUCUAUCUAUCUAUCUAUCUAUCUAUCUAUCUAUCUAUCUAUCUAUCACCUAUCAUCUAUCUCUCAUCUAUUAAUCAGUCUAUCACCUAUUAUCUCUAUCAUCUAUCAAUCUAUUGCCUAUCUAUCUGUCUUACAGAAAAGCAGAAGAGACUACUUGAGAGGGAAAAGAGCACAGGGCUGGGGCAGAAGGGAGGCCAGUGGAUAUGAUCAAAUACAGUGUUACCCGAGUGUGCAUACAAUACCGUAAUAAAAGGCACUGUGUUGUACAGAGACUGGAAACUAGUAGUGAGGUUCAGUGUGGCUGCUAAAGGUAGAACCAGUUCCAGGUGGAAUCCACUCUGAGCGGGACGCAGCUGUGGCAGCUCAAGCAGAAAAUGCUUAGACCUGGUUGGUGAAGAGAGACCAGAUUCUGGGUAUUUCUGUGAAACUCCAUGCAGACUGCAGGAGGCCCUGAGAGAUAAGUAAGAGGCACUCGGUACCCUCAAGGACUCAGGGUUCUUUUUAAGAGUCUGGGCUCCUGCACGGAGCCGUAUUGGAUUUGGGCCUAGCUGCUUUUUGACUGCAUGGCUCAAAGUGGCUAGGUGACUCUGGGCUGUUUGGCCACAGAUAUUCACCCCUAAGAUGACUGCCAUAAGUCUUAAGAUUGUUGAAUGAAAGCCUCUCCCAUGAAUUUACGGCACAGGAAGAUAACAUUCAAGGGAUGCCUCAGCUCCCUUAGCAGAUACCUGUUACCUCCUGAAUCAACACCCAGUGUCUCUACCGCCUGACCUCUUUGCCUCCAGCUAUCACUACCUAUAUCCGCACCUCCCCCUCCUCUGUGUUUCACAAAGGACACUCCCCCUACCUGAAAGCCUUAAAAGCUGUAACAUUCACCCCAAUAAACGAGACCUUGACAACAGAAUCUUGCUUGGUCUCCUUCUUCUCUCGCCCCCUAUUUAGGCCCAAGGGUAGCGCCCCUUUGGGACCCUGAAUAACUGGGUCCCCGCUGGCGGGGACAAGUGGCGCCCGAACACAGGGACCCCGAAGUACGGCCAACUACCGGACGACGGAGACAGGGGAUCCGCGGAGAGAUUGAGGACUCUUCAGGCUACAUCGCUCGUGCAUUGCUGGAGAGGGAGGUAAGACCGGUCGAAUAAGUGUCAUCCCAUCGCCAUGGGGAAGGUAUUGUCUAAGGAGGCUUGUUUCAUAGGAGAGAUCAAGCGCUCACUCAGGGAGAGAGGAUUAAGAGUAAAGAAAAAGGAUUUAAUCAAGUUUUUUUGUUUUAUUGAUGAAAGGUGUCCCUGGUUAAUUUUAAACAGUGUGGGGCUAGCUUAAGUAAAACUUGUAAUAAAAAAGGGACAAGGUAAUGGUAAAGUGUUUUUGCAUAUGCGUUCUUUUAGAGUUAUAUUUUAGUCUUUGGAUCCUGACUAGAGAGAGUCUGGUAAAACAUAUCUUAUUCCAAACAACAAUUAAAUUGGUUAUUACAAAAUACUGAUAUUUGGCCUAUCACAUAUACAAAUCUCAGACAAAAUUGAUAAUUUUACUCUUUACAUGCUUUUGUAUUUCCUAUAAAUCUGUGCAUACAACCCAUAGGAAAUGAGCUUACUAUAUUUAUAGGUGGUUCAUCUAAUGAAAAGGCUACAUGUAUGAUUAGAUCACUUGUUUAUUCUCUUCAGUUUCCCCUGCUUUAGCACAGAUUAUUAAAUUACGUGCUGUAGCCACUGUUUUUUUAAAAAAAAAAAUCAAGCUUUUAAGUCAUAUACUGAUAGCCAAUGUAUGGCUUAUGGUUUACAGUUGAUUAAAAAGUUUCCCUUUUUAGAUACUAUUAGCCCUCAAAUUAUACAAUUACUUAAUGCUAUAUUAGAGACAGGUUUUCUACUUAAAAUCAAUGAGUGAUUUCAGUGUGAAUUGUCUGACAACUCACUGUCCUUUCAGUGCUCUGGCUCAGACAACUAAACAAAACCAUAGACCCAGCUCUUUGAAAAUGGUAAUGGAGUUGAUAACACACCCUCUUGAAAAGAGGAAGACUCCAUUUGCUUACUUUCAACUCCUAGCCUCACCCUGCCGGCUCAGGGAUUUCUAGUGUGACUAAAUCUGGACAAUAUUUAUAGGAUUUGGCAUCUCUAAUUAAUGCUUAUGUUUAGGUAAAUAAAGCUAGUGAGGGGCUGGAGAGAUGGCUCAGUGGUUAAGAGCACUAAGUACUGUUCCUUUAUAGGCCAUUUAAGAACUCAAACUGGAUUGCCUAGACCCCUUAACAAGGGAGGACAAUGAUACCAGACAGAUUAUAGGCCUUACAUAGGAACAGUUAGUCAAAAAAUCUCAUUCUUUAUAUAUCCAAAACAGUAAUGCUGGAGACAAUAAUUUGGUAUAAAAGUCAAUUUAUAAAUACAAGUGCUCAGUGUCCUCAAUUUAAUCCUCAAGGACUUAUCUUAAUAAAUAAUAUUUUAACAAUAUUUUAGUAAAUAAAAAAGGGGGAGUUAUCCCUGUAUUCUAAAAUAUGCUCCUUUUAUUUCAAUUUUAAAAUUUGGAUGCCAAGAAACACUCUGAGUUUAUGGCAUCCUACAACUAGGCAUACUUCUGCCUAGGUGAAAUAGAAAGAUCCACAUAUUGGCGUGACCCUGUUCAGAUAUUUUAUACGGGGAAGAGGGAAUCUUUGUGUUUUUUUCUACAGGAUGCUACAGGAGUGUGCCAGCUGCCUGAGUGUCUGGUGAGACAUGCUGAUCCUGGGAGCAUGAAGAUUCAGCUCUCCUGGUUCGGGUCCCUGGAGUCAUUCCUGUGUCCUUGGAGGAAUAUGGAAGAUUCCCCCUCAUCUUUUGUCAUCACAGAAAUUUUGGCGUUGCUACAGUCAGUGUUACCACUGCGUGUUCCCGUCCCACCACGGCCUAUGCUCAGACCCUCUGUGCACUGCUGCGUUCUGGAGAAGACUGGACUCCAGCUGUUACCCCUGCCCCCCUCAUUCCCCUGGCUACUCUUGCUGCCUUAACUGGUGCUAUUGUUAAGCAAGCACAGUGGGUGAACUUUCUGGAGUAGUUGCUAACAAUUGGGAAUUCUAAAUUUUAUUACAGGAGAGGCAUGACUAGGCCCUUGGUGGUAUGGCCAUAGCAGCUGAGGAGAACCAGAUGAGGUGCCCACUACUUAUCGGGAGAGGCUCAAUUUCCACAAUCUCUUAUAUUAAUGCCAUCUGGCUCCUACUCUUUCGCCCCUGGGCUCAAGUAAGAGGAAUGAGAAGAUGAUCCAAUGUAGCUAUCCUCAGGGACGGGCAACUUCCUCUGACCCUUGACCAAUCUAAGACAGGAACCUUGGGGGCGACAAGGUGAUCCUAUGAUGGAUAAGGCUGGGGUUUGAGAGGUCGAUCCUAAGACAGAGGUGGCUACACCCCGUUUAAAUGUAUGGGCCGGUCAAAUGCUCCUCUGCCCAGUUUCUCCCCCAAUAAACACACACGUAUAGCCCAGAACGGUGUGUUACAGCAUAAGUUCAUUCCUAGCCAUUGGGGUGCAGUCCUAACUGCAAGAGUGGCUCACCAUGGCCGAGCUGGGCACUCUGUGAGGCAUGUCUGAUCUCUCUCAGACCACUACUUCCACCUAAUGGUCUUUUAUAAAAGAAAAAUGGGGGAGAUGCACGGAGCCGUAUUGGAUUUGGGCCUAGCCGCUUUUUGACUGCAUGGCUCAAAGUGGCUAGGUGACUCUGGGCUGUUUGGCCACAGAUAUUCACCCCUAAGAUGACUGCCAUAAGUCUUAAGAUUGUUGAAUGAAAGCCUCUCCCAUGAAUUUACGGCACAGGAAGAUAACAUUCAAGGGAUGCCUCAGCUCCCUUAGCAGAUACCUGUUACCUCCUGAAUCAACACCCAGUGUCUCUACCGCCUGACCUCUUUGCCUCCAGCUAUCACUACCUAUAUCCGCACCUCCCCCUCCUCUGUGUUUCACAAAGGACACUCCCCCUACCUGAAAGCCUUAAAAGCUGUAACAUUCACCCCAAUAAACGAGACCUUGACAACAGAA